UGACAGACCUUUCCUCUUAGCAGUGGUUGC
rnacentral:piRNA from 1 species